rnacentral:piRNA from 1 species
UAGAAUGGAUGCAGGCCUC